GCCUUCGUGGUGUAGUGGUCAGCACGCUGGGCGCGUAUUCCAGAGGUCCGUGGUUCGAGUCCCGGCGAGGGCG
rnacentral:tRNA from 1 species